rnacentral:lncRNA from 8 species
GGCAACACGCUUUUUUUUGUCAUAUAUAUAUAUAUAUAUUUUUUUUUUUUUAGUUACUCAACAAUAUCUUGGUUACGAUGUAAACUCCACAGUACUUAUAACUUACUGUAUCCAUCACACAGUAAAACAUAACUUUACAAGGCAAAUGGCCACUUAAGCAUAGAUUGGUUCAUGAGAUAAAAAUGAGAAGAAAAAAAAAACACACCACAAAGAAAGAAAAUGUCAAAAUAAAAUAACAAAUGAUUUGCAUUGGGGGUUUGUUCAAAUUUGAAAAACAAAGCCAGGCUUCGUUGGUUCGUUUGUUCAUUUACAAGUCAGGUGACCGUCAAAAACUCUGGUGAUGAUCAAAACUACUCCCAAAACCUUGAUAUAAACCGUAGAGUUGGAUCGAGGGCUCACUUGCCACAAAGUUUGUUUUAGCAUGGGCAGACAUUGGUAUGUGCCCUCUAUCCAACUCUAUGAGCUACAGGUACCUCCAUAUUAGCCCUGAACCCUCCAUAUUAGCCCCUGAUAUCGUUCCCAUCCUCCCCCUCCCUAAUAACACUACUGAUAUCAUUCCUAUCCCCCACCUCCCUAAUAACAACACGGCUACCCAGACACCUGGGGAGGGAGAGGGGAGGGGUUGAAUCUCAUAACCUGUUCUGUUGGGUAUUCCUUAAAACAACGGUCUGAAGCUACAACAGAGGAAGACUAAAUGCCCCAAAUGGCACCCUAUUCCCUACAUAGUACACACUACGUUUCACUUGAGUCCUAUGGGGUAGUGGUCAACGGUAGUGCACUAUAUAGGGAACCAAGGGUACCAUUUGGGGGGGGGGGAGAGACAUCACUGACAUGAUCCUUUCUCUCACAAUGACAUGACGUCUGACCAAACACCCAGCAUCUAUGGGCUGGGGGGGGGUCAAUCUAGAGUCUAGACAGAGAUGGUGUGUGAUUACUACACUUUUGAGCUAGUUCGAACACUGGCCACCGGAUUUUAUAACCUAACUUCUGUUUCCCCUGGAAAGAAAAAAAACAAACGGUGGGGACUCCUGCUGGUUUAGGUUAUUUCACUUGAACAAACAGACAGUCACCCUGAUCCAUAUACUAACAGUAUAUACAUCCUCCAGUAUUGUCUCAGAGGGCUGGGAUAUACAACAGACAGCACCAGUGGGCCUGAACAUACUGCUGGGCGGUGUGUGUGUGUGUGUGUAGUCUGAAUACAGGUGACUAGCUGGUAUAGGGGCUUAUAAAGGCAGUGUGUGUGUGUGUGUAGUCUGAAUACAGGUGGACUAGCUGGUAUAGGGGCUUAUAAAGGCAGUGUGUGUGUGUGUGUGUAGUCUGAAUACAGGUGGACUAGCUGGUAUAGGGGCUUAUAAAGGCAGUGUGUGUAGUCUGAAUACAGGUGGACUAGCUGGUAUAGGGGCUUAUAAAGGCGGUGUGUGUGUGUUGAUUUCAGUAUUUUGGCUGCUGCUACACUUUGACGUGUCUGUGUGAUAUUGGCAUGUUGCUAUGACAGCAAGUACGGCAGCUUACUUUGGCAUGGUAUAACUCACCCUGUUGAGCUGUCCUACCCAACACACACACACACACCCCUCUAAAACUGUACUUGGAACACAAGAGAAUAUCCAGUUCACUACAGAAAGGAAACAGUUUGUUUGUUAAAUUGCUGCAAAUAGUCAAAUUGAUUUGUUUGAAGUGAUGGUUCAGAAUACUGAAACUGAUAAAAGGGUUUCCUCAGGAUCUUUGGUAAAAUAUUAUUCUGAAACUAACAAAAUGAGAAAGCGCCCCCCCCCCCCCCAUGUGCUCAGUUAAAAUGUUAAAUAAUAAAUGAAACGGACAGAAUAUUGGGUGUAUUCUUAUACCUCACCCAGAGUGAAAACAAAAAGUAUUCGUAAAAGACAAAAUACAAAUCUAAAAAGACACAAAACCCCAUGAUAGUUUACAGUACAAAUGACAUUAUAGAACACAUAAAAAAAAACAGGG